rnacentral:rRNA from 1 species
UGGCGAACGGGUGAGUAAUACAUCGGAACGUGUCCGCUCGUGGGGGACAACCAGCCGAAAGGUUGGCUAAUACCGCAUGAGUUCUACGGAAGAAAGAGGGGGACCCGCAAGGGCCUCUCGCGAGCGGAGCGGCCGAUGACUGAUUAGCCGGUUGGUGAGGUAACGGCUCACCGAAGCAACGAUCAGUAGCUGGUCUGAGAGGACGACCAGCCACACUGGGACUGAGACACGGCCUAGACUCCUACGGGAGGCAGCAG